GACGAACGCUGGCGGCGUGCCUAAUACAUGCAAGUAGAACGCUGAAGGGAGAGCUUGCUCUUCUGGAUGAGUUGCGAACGGGUGAGUAACGCGUAGGUAACCUGCCUGGUAGCGGGGGAUAACUAUUGGAAACGAUAGCUAAUACCGCAUAACAUUGACUAUUGCAUGAUAGUCAAUUGAAAGGUGCAAUUGCACCACUACCAGAUGGACCUGCGUUGUAUUAGCUAGUUGGUGGGGUAACGGCUCACCAAGGCGACGAUACAUAGCCGACCUGAGAGGGUGAUCGGCCACACUGGGACUGAGACACGGCCCAGACUCCUACGGGAGGCAGCAGUAGGGAAUCUUCGGCAAUGGACGGAAGUCUGACCGAGCAACGCCGCGUGAGUGAAGAAGGUUUUCGGAUCGUAAAGCUCUGUUGUAAGAGAAGAAACGAGUGUGAGAAGUGGAAAGUUCACACUGUG
rnacentral:rRNA from 1 species